CACAGGCUCUAGGGCCAAGCCUCGACCCUUAUAAGGCAGAUCUAAACCAGAUCUAACCAAGCAAACCUAGCAUUAUUUGCCCACAACCAUCACCCACGGGAUUUGGAAGGCCAGACCAGUACAAACCCGGACUAGGGGAGACCUAGCCGGGGGAAAAAGGGCACGAUAGGUCCAAAGAAACCUAACAAAAAACCCUCUGCCCUCCUACCUCACCUUAUUGAACCACACCGCUGCCCUAGCGAACUAGAUCUGGUGGAGACAAGGUGGAGAGAAGAGAAAGAAACAAGCUCUACAAAUGCCGAUUGCGAACGCCUCCGCCACUGGAAGCUGCCUUCGUCGGAGCGAAACCAAAACCCCUACUUUGACCAAUCAGAGGCUGGAAGCAAGACACAGGUGGGAUGGAAAGGAGGAUGAGAGAGGGAUGAGGGACCCUGGUUGAAAGCUCCUCGCAGGAACUAGGGAGAGUAGGAGAGGAGAAGAUAAGGUUCUAGAGAGAGAAGGAGAGGAGAGAGUAAGCUUUUGGUCCGGUUCCAAUCCAAUCUGUGAGUUAUGAAUCGGUCCCGAUUUUAUCCACAGAUUACAUCAUCCAAAUGUUUGAAUUUUCUGGUAUUAUUGUAGGCACAUGUUAGCAGUUUUCAGAUCAAAAAAUGUUCUUACACUUCCUUCUGAAUAUCUGUUGAAAUGGUGGCAAGAAAUGCCAAGAGUGGAGGUGCCGUUGAUGAACAGGGCUCCUGAAUUUCCAGGAAAUUUGCAAGAGCCUUUGACUGUUAGAUAUAACAAUCUACGGCAUGAAACAAUUAGAUUCGUUGAAGAAGGAGCAAAGUCUAAUACAUUUUUAUAACGUCGCUAUCGAUGCUCUGCAAGAGGCUGCAAAAACGUUGCUGCUGCAAAGAAGCAAAGCUCUGGAGCCACACAGGGAAGCACUCUGGCCAAUGGAGCUAGCCAAGGAACGCAUAUGGAUGAAAAAAAUCAAAUGAUGCCACAUAAAUCUGCGGAUAAGAAGGGAAAGAAAAUUCGCGAAUUGGCUGCCGAGUUGGAGAGCACAAAUGCACGAUGUGAAGUGUAUCGUGCAAAUCUGCUUGCGUUUCUGAGUGAUCUGUAGGAUCAAAAGUUAAAACUGUCGCCGAAAGUUCAAAAAGCAAGGCUUAGCUUGAAAGAAUGAACUUGAAAAAAAAUUGAGCCAAAACAUGUCCAUUCUUCUCUGUUACUUUUCCUGCUUUAGCACUUGAGGAGUCUGAAGCUCAUGUGGGGUUUACAUGUCUUCAUUAAAGCAGUUGCCAUGAUAGAAGAGAAUAGAAUGCAGUCCUUUCAUGACUCACAAAGACCAUUUUCUUUUCUUUUACAUCCACGGGAAAUCAAUGUCAAGAAAGAGUACUCUAUACGGAAAUGAUUUCCCAAAGCAACUUUGAUAACUGCAGAAAGAAUAAGCUUAUACAUUUUACAUGCUAUAGAAAUCAGUAUAUAUAUUUACAAGGUUUACGUCAAAGGUCAUAACAUCUCAUUUAUUAAACAAGAGAAACCUUUGUUCAAACACAAGUACUGUAGUCCCUCCUCCAUACAUCGAUAAUAUCUCGAAACGAUCAAUUUGAACACAACAAAAUUAUUGCUAUACCGUUCCGUGCUGCAGAAAAUGAUCAUCUCCGUUUUGAUCUUUGCACAUCACCACCCACUGUCUCCUUUAAUGCAUUCGGAAAUUUACAGGUGACAGCCUCGUGGGAUCGGAGAGGAGCUGUGUCUUUGUUUGUACGCGGUUCC